rnacentral:misc_RNA from 3 species
AACGCACAUUGCGCCCUGUGGUAUUCCGCAGGGCAUGCCUGUUCGAGCGUCAUUUCAACCCUCAAGCACUGCUUGGUGUUGGGCCCUGCCCGUCGCGGCCGGCCCUAAAGACAGUGGCGGCGCCGUCUGGCUCUAAGCGUAGUACAACUCUCGCUCUGGAGUCCUGCGGUAGCUUGCCAGAACCCCUAAUCUUAUGGUUGACCUCGGAUCAGGUAGGGAUACCCGCUGAACUUAA